CUUCUGAGCUCGUUUCUAGGUUGGGGGUCGAGUUCGAUCUUUAUCAUGUGAAGAGGCACGACCCCGAACUUAGCCAUUGUUGAUUUUAAAUGCAAAAUAGGUUGGGGCUCAAGACCUCGGGUUGUAUGACACUGCAUGCCCGAGGCACGUUAUUACGUUUUAUGCCGAAGUUAUUAGCUGCAUGCCCACAGUAUAUUAUUACACUAGUGUUGAAGAAUUGGUUGCAUGCCCGAAACACGUCAUUAUGCCAGAGUUAUUAGUUGCAUGCCCAUAGCACGUCAUUACACUAAUAUUGAAGAAUUGGCUGCAUGCCCGAAGCACGUCAUUAUGCCAGAGUUAUUAGUUGUAUGCCCGUAGCACGUCAUUACACUAAUAUUGAAGAAUUGGCUGCAUGUCCGAAGCACGUCAUUAUGCCAGAGUUAUUAGUUGCAUGCCUGUAGCACGUCAUUACACUAGUGUUGAAGAAUUGGCUACAUGCCCGAAGCACGUCAUUAUGCUAGAGUUAUUAGUUUCAUGCCCGUAGCACGUCAUUACACUAAUGUUGAAGAAUUGGCUACAUGCUCGAAGCACGUUAUUAUGCCAGAGUUAUUAGUUGCAUGCCCGUAGCACGUCAUUACACUAAUGUUGAAGAAUUGGCUGCAUGCCCGAAGCACGUCAUUAUGCCAGAGUUAUUAGUUGCAUGCCUGUAGCACGUCAUUACACUAAUGUUGAAGAAUUGGCUGCAUGCCCGAAGCACGUUAUUAUACCAGAGUUAUUAGUUGCAUGCUCGUAGCACGUCAUUAUGCCAAAGUUAUUAGUUGCAUGCCCAUAGCACGUCAUUACACUAAUGUUGAAGAGUUGGCUGCAUGCCCGAAGCACGUUGUUACGCCAAAGUUUAAGUACUUCUAGUAAAAAAAAAACUUGGAUAUUAUUAGGUGCUCAAGGGUACGUAGCCCGAGCUACUGAAAGCAAAAA
rnacentral:lncRNA from 1 species